AAAGUGUCGCCUAUUUUUAGACCGAAAAACGAAGACGUCCUUUGCGCAACACUCGUCGUGCUGAUGCACGAGGAGAUAGGAGCAGCUGUGAAAACAGGAAUUGAGCAAUGUUUAGGAAGACACAAACUGGUUUUUGGACUAUGGAGUUCAGGGGGUUCGGUCCCCGCGCUGUGAGGAUGAACUCCCUUGCAGAGAGCAUCGCUUCCACCGCUGCUCCCAAAACAUAUGAAACAAGUAUUUGCUCUUUAUAUAUAAAGUACUGGAGCCCAUCACUACAGAGAACAAACAAACAAGCAAG